rnacentral:rRNA from 1 species
CCUACGGGUGGCUGCAGUCGCGAAUCAUUCACAAUGGGCGCAAGCCUGAUGAUGCCACGCCGUGUGCGGGAUGAAGGCCCUUUGGGUUGUAAACCGCUGUCAAGGAAGAGGAACCGCCACUGGUGAAUAGUCAGUGGUCUGACUGCUUUCUAAAGGAAGCCCCGGCAAAACAUGUGCCAGCAGCCGCGGUAAUACAUGUGGGGCAAGCGUUGUUCGGAAUUACUGGGCAUAAAGGGUGCGUAGGCGGUUUGUUAAGUCACUGGUGAAAGUUUUCG